rnacentral:rRNA from 1 species
GAACCUUACCAGCCCUUGACAUCCCGGUCGCGGACUCCAGAGACGGAGUUCUUCAGUUCGGCUGGACCGGAGACAGGUGCUGCAUGGCUGUCGUCAGCUCGUGUCGUGAGAUGUUGGGUUAAGUCCCGCAACGAGCGCAACCCCCGUCCUUAGUUGCUACCAUUCAGUUGAGCACUCUAAGGAGACUGCCGGUGAUAAGCCGCGAGGAAGGUGGGGAUGACGUCAAGUCCUCAUGGCCCUUACGGGCUGGGCUACACACGUGCUACAAUGGCGGUGACAAUGGGACGCUAAGGGGCAACCCUUCGCAAAUCUCAAAAAGCCGUCUCAGUUCGGAUUGGGCUCUGCAACUCGAGCCCAUGAAGUUGGAAUCGCUAGUAAUCGUGGAUCAGCACGCCACGGUGAAUACGUUCCCGGGCCUUGUCACACCGA